rnacentral:misc_RNA from 1 species
GAUGAAGAACGUAGCGAAAUGCGAUAAGUAAUGUGAAUUGCAGAAUUCAGUGAAUCAUCGAAUCUUUGAACGCACCUUGCGCCCUUUGGCUAUUCCGAAGGGCAUGCCUGUUUGAGUAUCAUGAACACCUCAACUCUCAUGGUUUGCCAUGAUGAGCUUGGACUUUGGGGGUCUUGCCGGCCUAUGGGUCGGCUCCUCUCAAAUUAAUCAGCUUGCCAGUGUUUGGUGGCAUCACAGGUGUGAUAACUAUCUACGCUUGUGGUUUUCCAUCAGAUAACCUUCAGUGAUGGAGGUUCGCUGGGGCUCAUAAAUGUCUCUCCUCAGUGAGGACAGCUUUUUUGAACGUUUGAUCUCAAAUCAGGUAGGACUACCCGCUGAACUUAAGCAUAUCAAUAAGCGGAGGA